CCCUUAGAUGUCCUGGGCCGCACGCGCGCUACACUGAUGCAUGCAACGAGUUUAUAACCUUGGCCUGAAAGGUCUGGGUAAUCUUUUGAACGUGCAUCGUGAUAGGGAUAGAUUAUUGCAAUUGUUAAUCUUGAACGAGGAAUUCCUAGUAAACGCGAGUCAUCAGCUCGCAUUGAUUACGUCCCUGCCCUUUGUACACACCGCCCGUCGCACCUACCGAUUGAAUGGUUCGGGGAAGAUCUCGGACUUCGAUAUUUAUUCUUUAUUGAGUUUAUAUUGUGGGAAGUUAUCUAAACCUCAUCAUUUAGAGGAAGGUGAAGUCGUAACA
rnacentral:rRNA from 1 species